rnacentral:rRNA from 1 species
GAUGAACGCUGGCGGCGUGCCUAAUACAUGCAAGUCGAGCGAGCAGAUAAGGAGCUUGCUCCUUUGACGUUAGCGGCGGACGGGUGAGUAACACGUGGGUAACCUACCUAUAAGACUGGGAUAACUUCGGGAAACCGGAGCUAAUACCGGAUAACAUUUGGAACCGCAUGGUUCUAAAGUGAAAGAUGGUUUUGCUAUCACUUAUAGAUGGACCCGCGCCGUAUUAGCUAGUUGGUAAGGUAACGGCUUACCAAGGCAACGAUACGUAGCCGACCUGAGAGGGUGAUCGGCCACACUGGAACUGAGACACGGUCCAGACUCCUACGGGAGGCAGCAGUAGGGAAUCUUCCGCAAAGGGCGAAAGCCUGACGGAGCAACGCCGCGUGAGUGAUGAAGGGUUUCGGCUCGUAAAACUCUGUUAUUAGGGAAGAACAAAUGUGUAAGUAACUGUGCACGUCUUGACGGUACCUAAUCAGAAAGCCACGGCUAACUACGUG